rfam:Oryza sativa Japonica Group DNA, chromosome 4, cultivar: Nipponbare, complete sequence.
AAUAAGCGCAACCAUGAGUUUCCGUGUCCAAUUUUUAUCUUCCGUCUUAUUUGAAAUUUUUUUAUGAUUAGUAUUUUUAUUGUUAUUAGAUUAUAAAACAUGAAUACAUAUGUUUUUGCAUUUUUUUAAAAAAAUAUUAAAUAAGACGAACGAUUAAAGUUGGACACGGAAACUCAUGACUGCGAUUAUU